rnacentral:lncRNA from 12 species
ACAAAACAAAACAAAACAAGGAAAAAAAAAAGGCCCAUUUUAUACUUGGACAAAUGUUUCUGUGAAAAGAAUGAUGAAAUUUUUCUGGAAUACGGUCUGGAGCAUGGAGAAAGAUGAAGAGACAACAUGAAACAGCAACAGUAUAUGCAUCAUGUACUGUAAUUCAUCUCUGUAAUUCAAAUAUGGGAUGUACCUCCAAACCUACCUGCCUGCCUACCUCCUUCUUCUGCCUCUCUGGAUUUACAGCUUCACUUGCAGAGACUAAAGCAAAGAGCAGUGAGAUGAACAAUUGUAU